UAUGGCCAUAUCAUGUAGAAACAUUGGUUCCCUUCCAAUCACUGAAGUUAAGCAACACUGAGCCUGGUCAGUAGUUAUAUGGGUGACCACUUGAGAAUACCAGGUGUUGUGU